rnacentral:rRNA from 1 species
UACGAAGGGGACUAGCGUUGUUCGGAAUUACUGGGCGUAAAGCGCACGUAGGCGGAUUUGUUAGUCAGGGGUGAAAUCCCGGGGCUCAACCUCGGAACUGCCUUUGAUACUGCAAGUCUCGAGUCCGAUAGAGGUGGGUGGAAUUCCUAGUGUAGAGGUGGAAUUCGUAGAUAUUAGGAAGAACACCGGUGGCGAAGGCGGCCCACUGGAUCGGUACUGACGCUGAGGUGCGAAAGCGUGGGGAGCAAACAGG